rnacentral:rRNA from 1 species
GUUUCCUGGGUGUUAAAAGAAGUUCCUACAAGGUACCCACGACACCAGCCCAACGGUAUCGUACCGAGGAGUUGGAGAUUGGCGGCGAUUAAAAGAUGAGGGAAGACGUCACGGUAAAUAUCGAGGGCCCAAGAGAGGAGAGCGAAGCAGUCAGGUUUUGGGGCUCUUGGAAAGAGAGAGGAGAGAGAGAGAGAGAGGGCAGCUGAGAGAGGGGAGAGAGAGAGAGAUCUUGGCGUCCUUGUACCACGUUGUCGUGUCUUAGAUGCAGCACGUCAAGCUGUUCCCCCUCGGACUAGUACUCCUCGACAGUACGUUCCGGAGCGGCGGGUUCCCGCCGCCGGCGGCCUAGUACAUGAUGAUGGUACUGAUGCCGUGGCCUCCGCGGCGGCCGUUCUUGCCGUUCGGCCGGUUCCCGUCCCGCGAGUCGGACUCGCCGAAGAAGCCGAACGAGGAGUAGACGGAAAAGCCGGACCGGUGCGAGGAGCGCCGAGGCCCGCGGAAGAAGAGGAAGCGCGCGUGGCCGCCGCGCCGCCGCCGGUGCGUCGUCGUCGUCUCGCUCGCCACGAGGCCCUAGCCGUUGCUGUGGGACACGACGCUGGCGAGCAGCUCCGCGCGCCUAUACACGAAGCGCGCGCCGCUGGACGCGUACGUGAGCCGCUCGCGCAGCAAGGUCGAGCACAGGAGGCGGCCCGCUGGCCGCCACCUCCUCCUCCUCGCCUAUGCCGGCAUGUGCGCGUUCACCCUCCGCGUGCACUACUUCUGGUAGCUGCUCCACGCGAAGGUGGCGCACAGGCGGCCGCUGCGGCGCGCGACGCUGCACGCCGUGCUGUACGGCCGGCACGACGAGAGGUGCCCGCCCAAGUGCCCGUUGCACAUGGUGCUCAAGUUGCUGCCGGAGGAGGGCUACAAGCACUGCCGCCCGGUGGAGGUCGCGGCGCACCACAAGCAGUAGCAGCUCAUGGUGCUGACCACCUACUGGUUCAUGCCGCUGCAGCACAGGGCCGACAGCCGCAAGGGCGGGUAGCUGAAGUGGCGGCUAGCGGCGCACGUGACGAAGGGGCUCCACUAGCGGCCGGAGGCGUAGGUGCCGCUCGAGUGGCACCUGGGGCGGUUCUGGGGGCUCCCGGCCUCGUAGGCGCUGAAGGCCGCGGAGGAGCUGCUGCGGAUGGCGGGGGCGUAGUUGAUGGACCUCGCGUACCUCGCGUUCCGGCGGGCGUUCGUUGCGGCGCGGUCGCCGCGGCGGCGGUGCUUCGAGCGGGAGGGCUUGUUCGUGGACCGCCGCGGCCGCCUCUCCGGCUUCGACCACUAGCACAGCUCCUGCCCCAGGGCGCACUAGCUCUUGCUCCUCCUCGACUUCCGCGACCGGCGCCUGCACCCCAAGCUGCACGCGCACCAGGCCGGCCUCGCCUCGUGCCUCUACACGUUCUAUAUGGCGCUGGACUUGCGCUCGCUGCGCUACCACCCGCACGUGCCGCGGCGGUACUGCGUGAAGGACAAGUACGCGGGGCCGUUCCACAAGUAGGUCCACCACGGCGACCCGUGCCUGACCCGCCGUUUGCUCAUGAUGCCGCUCGGCCGCCGCGCGGAGCCGGACGCCAUGCAGCCCAUGUUCUAGGACGGCCUCCUCUCGAGGGACCGGGCGCUCAUGGGGCGCCCGGUGGGGCACGACUGCCUGGGGCGGCCGCACCGCGUCGCGCCGACCCUGCACUGGUUCUUCCACAUGGACCUGGCCGUCUUGCACGCCGAGCUGGACCGCGCCAAGGCCCUUCUCGACCAGCGCCGGGUGGCCAUGGAGCAGCGGCCGUUCGCCUUCCCGGCCGGCUUUUCGUCUCGAGAACGCUACACUAGCCGGCUAUAUUAGCAGAGGCAAUUGUUUGUAGGGCAUAUCGUCAUAUGGUAUCUAGUUUUAAAUGUCUGUGGAAAAGAGGAGAAGAGAGUCAAGGACAGUCAAUGUCAAUGUCGUCGAUUGAAGUAUGGACUGGUAAGUAAAGUAAUCUAACAAUGAGUACACAACCACUACACGGGCACUAGCUAGCUACGACCAAAUGUACGACUACACUUAUAUACGGGUUAUUUCUUCCUAAGUCAAUGUUAAAACGCAGCACUGUCACUCGCCUCCUUCUAAGGACGCACGUUCAUCGUCCCGCGGUCUCCGUCUCGUGGCCGGCCAACCACCACGAACGUCCCGUGCUUGACAUUUGGCGGACGACAAUGUGGUGCUCCUAGGUAGACUUUGCAUACGUCUCCGUCGGUCCCUCCAGUCCAAUCCGUCCCUCUACAAGGCACAAAGGAUGGGGUCUAAGGUUAGGUUAGGGUCGCAUACGGCUAGUUAGCUAGCAACUAGCAGCUACACCACACCAACAAGACCUACCCAACCAACCUUGUAUGAUCAGCCGAAAGCAAUUCGCAGUUAUUUCGUGACUAUUAAUCACCUGGCUAUUUCGAUAUAGUGGUGGUCGUCACGAGUCCCUACCGCUGACGCCGACGUCCACGCACAUAUAAGGAUGAGGCCGAAGGAAAAGAUGACGACGGUGACUUCUGACUUGCCG